rnacentral:rRNA from 1 species
GGCUUAACACAUGCAAGUCGAACGAUGUAGCAAUACAUAGUGGCGCACGGGUGAGUAACGCGUGGGAAUGUACCUUAUAGUGGGGAAUAACGUUGGGAAACUAACGCUAAUACCGCAUACGCCCGAGAGGGGAAAGAUUUAUCGCUAUAAGAUCAGCCCGCGUGAGAUUAGGUAGUUGGUGGGGUAAUGGCCUACCAAGCCUACGAUCUCUAGCUGGUCUGAGAGGAUGAUCAGCCACACUGGAACUGAGACACGGUCCAGACUCCUACGGGAGGCAGCAGUGGGGAAUAUUGGGCAAUGGAGGAAACUCUGACCCAGCCAUGCCGCGUGAAUGAUGAAGGCCUUAGGGUUGUAAAGUUC